rnacentral:rRNA from 1 species
GAUGAACGCUGGCGGCGUGCCUAAUACACGCAAGUCGAGCGAAUGGAUUAAGAGCUUGCUCUUAUGAAGUUAGCGGCGGACGGGUGAGUAACACGUGGGUAACCUGCCCAUAAGACUGGGAUAACUCCGGGAAACCGGGGCUAAUACCGGAUAACAUUUUGAACCGCAUGGUUCGAAAUUGAAAGGCGGCUUCGGCUGUCACUUAUGGAUGGACCCGCGUCGCAUUAGCUAGUUGGUGAGGUAACGGCUCACCAAGGCAACGAUGCGUAGCCGACCUGAGAGGGGGAUCGGCCACACGGGGACUGGGCAACGGCCCAGACUCCUACGGGAGGCAGCAGUAGGGAACCUUCCGCAAUGGACGAAAGUCUGACGGAGCAACGCCGCGUGAGUGAUGAAGGCUUUCGGGUCGUAAAACUCUGUUGUUAGGGAAGAACAAGUGCUAGUUGAAUAAGCUGGCACCUUGACGGUACCUAACCAGAAAGCCACGGCUAACUACGCGCCAGCCGCCGCGGUAA